GCGGGUGUGGCGGAACUGGCAUACGCGCUGGAUUUAGGUUCCAGUGGACCCUGUCCAUGGAGGUUCGAGCCCUCUCGCCCGCACCA
rnacentral:tRNA from 1 species